UGAUUUCACAGCAGGUGAGGGGCUCUCAACUCCUCUCCCAAACAAUGUGUGUCUGCAGUUUGGUGGGGAGGGUAUGAUUUCACAGCAGGUGAGCGGCUCUCAACUCCUCUCCCAAACAAUGUGUGUCUGCAGUUUGGUGGGGAGGGUAUGAUUUCACAGCAGGUGAGCGGCUCUCAACUCCUCUCCCAAACAAUGUGUGUCUGCAGUUUGGUGGGGAGGGUAUGAUUUCACAGCAGGUGAGCGGCUCUCAACUCCUCUCCCAAACAAUGUGUGCUUUGAUGGAUCCUGUGGUGCGUUUUCCUGCUUUUCUUUUAACUGUGCAGGUUGAAACCUGGGUGCCCGAUUGAGUCAGCUGCUUACAUGUCUUGUCUAUGAAACGCUAUUAUUCAUCCGAACUGAAAAAGGAUUGUGUCAACAGCAGCAGGGCCUUGCUGGGCAGGUUUGCUGUGACCAGAUGAGAAGAAACACUUUGAAGUCCUUGUCCUGGAAAAGCACCUCGUCACACAAGAGCCAGUGGUGGGGUCACCGGCAUUUUCCUGCUUCUCCUCACCGACGGCAGUGUGAACGCAGCCCAUUCUGCAGGCCGGAGCUGACGGCUGUUGCACCUGGGCCAGAGUCCCUGCCCCAGAGGCUGCUGUGAUGGGAACCGCCAGCCUCACUCCCCUUCCUGCGAGAGGUCAUGUCCCUGUCCCAGCACCUUCAACAAAGAAGUGGGGCCUGCAGCUGACGCUAUGAGCGGGUGUCAGGCUGGGUGGAGGUGUCCGUUGGACGGUCGAAAGUUGCUAUAGCAAUAACAAACAUGGUUCUCAUGUUUUGAAAAGAAGGGACACCUGCGAGGAGCAGGAAUUCUUCCGUCAUGAUCCACGCUCUGUCGGGUUGCGGUAGCCAUCAGCAUGCCCAUAAACUGAGAAAUAUACAUGUUUAUAUAUAUGUCUUUUUCACUUUAUUGGCAAGUAUUGCACAAGUAUGUAAACCUCACGUUCUGCAGCUAAGGGCUGCAUAGUCGUAACUUCUGAGCAGUUUAUUAAGGUUGAAUACAACUGAUGUAACGAAUCACUUUAUAAAAU
rnacentral:lncRNA from 13 species